rnacentral:rRNA from 1 species
UCUGAGAGGAUGAUCAGCCACACUGGAACUGAGACACGGUCCAGACUCCUACGGGAGGCAGCAGUGGGGAAUAUUGCACAAUGGGCGCAAGCCUGAUGCAGCCAUGCCGCGUGUGUGAAGAAGGCCUUCGGGUUGUAAAGCACUUUCAGUCGUGAGGAAGGUUCAUGCGUUAAUAGCGUAUGGAUUUGACGUUAGCGACAGAAGAAGCACCGGCUAACUCCGUGCCAGCAGCCGCGGUAAUACGGAGGGUGCGAGCGUUAAUCGGAAUUACUGGGCGUAAAGCGCAUGCAGGUGGUUUGUUAAGUCAGAUGUGAAAGCCCGGGGCUCAACCUCGGAAUUGCAUUUGAAACUGGCAGACUAGAGUACUGUAGAGGGGGGUAGAAUUUCAGGUGUAGCGGUGAAAUGCGUAGAGAUCUGAAGGAAUACCGGUGGCGAAGGCGGCCCCCUGGACAGAUACUGACACUCAGAUGCGAAAGCGUG